AGUCGGUUGUACGGUUGCGGGAAAGAAAUUUCACGAGGAAAGUCCGAGCUCCAUAUGGCAGGAUGCCGCCUAACGGACGGUGAAGGUGACUUUAAGGAAAGUGCAACAGAAAAUUACCGCGUUCGCAAGAACGUAAGGAUGAAAAGGCGAGGUAAGAGCUCACCGGCGCUACGGAGACGCGGCGCGCUGUGUAAACCCCAUCCGGAGCAAGAUAGGAACAACCCGUAAGAUAGCCAGUCGGGGUUGUUCGUAAAACGUCGCUUGAGCUUGUCGGCAACGGCAAGCGUAGAUAGAUAACCGUAUUCAAUGACAGAACUCGGCUUACAGACCGACUCG
rnacentral:RNase_P_RNA from 1 species